rnacentral:tRNA from 1 species
CGGAAGAUAGCUCAAAGGGCCAGAGCACUCGGUUGAUAACCGAGAGGUUGCAGGUUCGAUGCCUGCUCUUCCGA